rnacentral:lncRNA from 1 species
GGGAGAACUAAAAAAAAUACUGUCGAAAUUUUUUUUCGACUUCUAUUGCGUAUCAUUUGAUUACUGUAAUUAACUUAUAAAAUUAAUAUAUUUUUUGAAUGAGAUAGGAUCUUCUAUACUGAUUAGUUGAUGAUAGGAUAUAUUUACUAUAUAAGCCAUUUUGAAUGAUAAAAUAAUUAAUUAGCUAUUGCCUUAUACUUAUGUAUAUGCAGAAUUUUUAGAUAGUGUGCCAUGGAUCAUAGUUGGAUGGAUCGUCGAGUAGUCGACGGGAUGAUUUCUGCUGAAUAUAGGGAGGGUAUAGAGUACUUCUAUGAUUUUACUUUUGAAAAUGUAGCAUUCUUACAUCAAGGAUGGGCUCAUUGUCCUUAUAACAGAUGUAACAAUAGAAAAAUAUUUGAUAGGGAUAUAAUUACUGUCUAUUUGUAUAAGAGUAGAUUUAUACCAAACUACAAGCAUUGAUACUUGUAUGGAGAGACGUGGGAGAAAGUUACAAGGAUUAGAAGCGAGCAAGACAGGGACAC